rnacentral:rRNA from 1 species
GACGAUCAGUAGCGGGUCUGAGAGGAUGAUCCGCCACACUGGGACUGAGACACGGCCCAGACUCCUACGGGAGGCAGCAGUGGGGAAUUUUGGACAAUGGGGGCAACCCUGAUCCAGCCAUGCCGCGUGUCUGAAGAAGGCCUUCGGGUUGUAAAGGACUUUUGUCCGGGAAGAAAAGCGCGAUGUUAAUACCAUUGCGUGCUGACGGUACCGGAAGAAUAAGCACCGGCUAACUACGUGCCAGCAGCCGCGGUAAUACGUAGGGUGCGAGCGUUAAUCGGAAUUACUGGGCGUAAAGCGGGCGCAGACGGUUACUUAAGCAGGAUGUGAAAUCCCCGGGCUCAACCUGGGAAUUGCGUUCUGAACUGGGUGGCUAGAGUGUGUCAGAGGGGGGUAGAAUUCCACGUGUAGCAGUGAAAUGCGUAGAGAUGUGGAGGAAUACCGAUGGCGAAGGCAGCCCCCUGGGAUAGCACUGACGUUCAUGCCCGAAAGCGUGGGUAGCAAACAGGAUUAGAUACCCUGGUAGUCCACGCCCUAAACGAUGUCGAUUAGCUGUUGGGCAACUUGAUUGCUUGGUAGCGAAGCUAACGCGUGAAAUCGACCGCCUGGGGAGU